GAGGUUUGGCACCUCGAUGUCGGCUCAUCACAUCCUGGGGCUGUAGUAGGUCCCAAGGGUUGGGCUGUUCGCCCAUUAAAGUGGUACGCGAGCUGGGUUCAGAACGUCGUGAGACAGUUCGGUCCCUAUCCGUCGCAGGCGUAGGAAAUUUGAGAAGACCUGUCCUUAGUACGAGAGGACCGGGAUGGACGUACCUCUGGUGUACCAGUUGUCCUGCCAAGGGCAUGGCUGGGUAGCUAUGUACGGAAUGGAUAAGCGCUGAAAGCAUCUAAGCGCGAAGCCAACUUCAAGAUAAGAUUUCCCACCGCAAGGGUAAGACCCCAGAAAGACUAUCUGGUUGAUAGGUCGAAGGUGUAAGUGCAGCAAUGUAUUUAGCUUAUCGAUACUAAUAGGUCGAGGACUUGACCAAU
rnacentral:rRNA from 1 species